GAUGAACUCUGGCGGCGUGCCUAAUACAUGCAAGUCGAGCGAACAGACGAGGAGCUUGCUCCUCUGACGUUAGCGGCGGACGGGUGAGUAACACGUGGAUAACCUACCUAUAAGACUGGGAUAACUUCGGGAAACCGGAGCUAAUACCGGAUAAUAUAUUGAACCGCAUGGUUCAAUAGUGAAGGACGGUUUUGCUGUCACUUAUAGAUGGAUCCGCGCCGCAUUAGCUAGUUGGUAAGGUAACGGCUUACCAAGGCAACGAUGCGUAGCCGACCUGAGAGGGUGAUCGGCCACACUGGAACUGAGACACGGUCCAGACUCCUACGGGAGGCAGCAGUAGGGAAUCUUCCGCAAUGGGCGAAAGCCUGACGGAGCAACGCCGCGUGAGUGAUGAAGGUCUUCGGAUCGUAAAACUCUGUUAUUAGGGAAGAACAAAUGUGUAAGUAACUAUGCACGUCUUGACGGUACCUAAUCAGAAAGCCACGGCUAACUACGUG
rnacentral:rRNA from 1 species